UACGUAGGGGGCGAGCGUUGUCCGGAGUUACUGGGCGUAAAGGGCGCGCAGGCGGUCUGGUAAGUUUGGAGUGACAGUGCUCGGCUUAACUGAGCAAGGCCUUCGAAAACUAUCAGACUUGAGCACUCAAGAGGGACAUAGAAUUCCGGGUGGAGUGGUGAAAUGCGUAGAUAUCUGGAGGAACACCGGUGGCGAAGGCGGCAUCCUGGACCAAUACUGACACUGAGGAGCGAAAGCCAGGGGAGCAAACGGG
rnacentral:rRNA from 1 species